rnacentral:pre_miRNA from 1 species
AAUGUGAUAACUGGGUCAAAUUGUGGUUCCCUUCCAAGUUUUCUGAGGAAUCUCCAUACUCCUUUCUAGAGUGAUUGCAAAAAUUUGCCAUCCCACUAGUAAU